UGUCAUCAGUGCAUCCUCUGUUAAUCUCAUGAGAUUUUAUUUUCCAAAGUGCUUUUAAAGCAAUGGCAUAGAACAUAAGGUGUUGCCAGGGGAGUGGGGAAAGGGGUGGGGGACUUAGACCUCUAGCCUUAUUAGGGGCCUUUUCAAGUAGUCUAAAAUUAAAAUGUACAUUUAGCAUAUGCUUCUCACAUUCCUCCAGAUCUCACUGGUUCUAGUGAAAAAUUAACUGCUUUGGAGGUGCUGAGUCCAUCAUUGUAAUAGUUAGGACUUAGAUGAAGUUGUCUGUAGGUAGCCCCAGUGUCCCUAGAGGAAGGUGGUGCUCUAGGGCCAUAUGUAGCCUCUGAGUGUGGGUGCCCAUCCAGGAGCAAGUCAGACACAGGUCAAGAGGACAAACAGCAAAGGCCUUUUGUCACUGAAGGACUCGGAGUCUGCACAAGCUGGCCAUUUCUGGCAAGACAGUCUUUCCUCUUCAGUUUCUCCCUUACUGGAAGCGAUGUUAGAAGGCUGUGCUUUUAAGGAUUGUGGGCCUUUCUUGACCAUCUUUUAACAUCCUUGUGUGACUUGGAGUUUUUCUGUGUUUCAUUCUAUAAAAACAAGCAAAAAUAUGUCAGUAACACAUUUUAAAAAGAUGCCUCCCAGUCUCCAAACAAACAAGAACUGAGGAUAUCUUCCCUGGGAAGAGAAUCCUGCAGCAGAUUCUGAAAGGUUUCUUCUAGCCUCUGAGUUAUCCAGUGCGGCUACUGCCAUGGAGAUGUGUAUAGUGACAUGUCCACACAGGAACAGACCAGAGAGGAUGGGCUAUAAGUAAGCACCUUGCCAUUUACAACCCUUUAAUGGCUAAACUAGUCCAUGGUGUCUGUGAGAGGGAGUUUGCGAGUAGCUCUAUUGUGAGGGGCUCCUGAGACCUGGCCAGACC
rnacentral:lncRNA from 1 species